AAAAAUCAUUCAUUUAUAAAUCCAUUUUAUGAAACGCUUAAGCAGUAAUAAAUCAUUUAUAUUUCUUUUAAAUUCAUAUCAAAUUUUUAUUGCAAUUUUAUCUUUACUUCCCAUUAAAGUUUCCUCAUUAACAGGAUAUUUGCCAGACAGGAAGUGUGGAUCAAUUCCAAGGGCGAAUUAUUGAACUUUUAAACGCCGUUUUAGUUACUUUGUGUAUUUUAAUAAACAUAAAUUUUGUGAAGAGUUUGAAACAACAUAAUUGUGAGAGAUACUUAAAAAUAUAAUAAAAGAAGAAGAAAAUGGGUCUGAUUAAAUUAAUUCUUUUCAUGGCACUUGUCCAUUUCUCAGCAUCCACAAUCUGCCAUGAUGGUCCUUGCAGAGUGGAAGAUUGUUCGAUACCACAAUGUGCAGGAGAUGAAGUUUUAACGAUGGGAAUAGGAUGCAACUGCUGCCCGUUCUGCAGGAAAAUUUCUGGUAAAGGGCUUCUUAGAAUUUCAAACGAAUUUCGUUUUCAGAUUAAAUAAAUUGUUCUUUUUUCUGUUAACGCUUUGUUAAACUAUUUUACUUUAAAAUAUCUCUUUCCGGUUUAAAAAAGAAAAUUAAUUAAUAUGGCUAAUGAGAUAAUCGUACCCUUGCAUUGAGUAGUGCCUAACAGUUUAGUUAAAAGCGUAAUCUUUUUGGAGCGGCAAUGUAUUUAUUUAUAUUGAAAAUUACUAUAUUGUAACGAUAAUACAUCAGCUUCAUGUAAAGCUCUAAAUUUUUUGUUAAAGUUCGACAGUGUUACAUUUAAAUGGGCCUGCCAGAUGGCCAAGUGGUUAGCCUAGCUUACUGCAAAGCCAAUAGCAGAGGGUUCGAAUCCUGCUCAGGACAUGUUUCUCUCAGUGUUGUCCUCCGUUGUGUGUGGUCUGUGAAUGUUACCCACCCUAUGAAUGGGUAUCUGUGGCCGCGUGGGUUAGUAAUGUUCCAUGACUUUGGACACAAGGUGCUCACCAGGCAACGCAAAAUGAGCAACACUUACGGCAUCUACCCUUACGAAGAGUGAUAAGGUCAGUAAGCGCCAUAAAAAAAAUUAAAAAAUUUAAAAAACAUCUAAAUAUUAGUAGUGAUGUUGUAAUUUCGCCUAUUUUAACAAUUACCAACAGCACUGCGCAGUCGUAAAUAAAUAAAUAUAAUCAUUUUAAGCUCCAAAAAAUUUUAAUCAAACUAAAAAAGACGCUCACGUAGUAACUUGUACUUAAAAAGUUCAAGAAGAGCAAACAUUUUAUUUGUGAUAAGUGUACUUCGGCACGGAGAAGAGAAGUUUGAUAAAAUUACCGGAAUUGUACUGUAAUGAUAUUCCUAGUAUGUAAAAUCAUAACUCUUGUAAUCAAAACAAAUAUACGGUAUGCAAACCAUUCAUUUAGUACUUUUCUAUUCGUAUGAUAAAGGUUUGCUGGAAAAAGCUCUUUGAACACACUACUUUGUUGAUUUUGGUGUUCCCAUAGACCAAGACAUACGCAAAGAGCUCACACGCUGUUCACAAAGUGCCAGAAAUAUAUUGGUAGUUAAAGAAAAAAAUUUUCUCAUUGUGAUUGUACUUUCUCAGAAUAGAAGCAAUUUUUCGUCACAGAUUCAGAAAUUUGAUAAACAUCUGGUAAAUU
rnacentral:lncRNA from 1 species